GUCUUCGUGGUGUAAUGGUCAGCACGCUCGGCGCGUAUUCGAGAGGUCCAUGGUUCAAAUCCUGGCGAGGGCA
rnacentral:tRNA from 1 species